UGGAGGGCUGGUCUGGGCGAGCCUGAUGCAGCGACGCCGCGUGAGGGAUGACGGCCUUCGGGUUGUAAACCUCUUUCAGCAGGGAAGAAGCGAGAGUGACGGUACCUGCAGAAGAAGCGCCGGCUAACUACGUGCCAGCAGCCGCGGUAAUACGUAGGGCGCAAGCGUUGUCCGGAAUUAUUGGGCGUAAAGAGCUCGUAGGCGGCUUGUCGCGUCGGAUGUGAAAGCCCGGGGCUUAACCCCGGGUCUGCAUUCGAUACGGGCAGGCUAGAGUUCGGUAGGGGAGAUCGGAAUUCCUGGUGUAGCGGUGAAAUGCGCAGAUAUCAGGAGGAACACCGGUGGCGAAGGCGGAUCUCUGGGCCGAUACUGACGCUGAGGAGCGAAAGCGUGGGGAGCGAACAGGAUUAGAUACCCCGGUAGUCA
rnacentral:rRNA from 1 species